GGCCACUACGUUCAGUACGCGUGACUGCCGGAGCGUCCAGGCCGGCCAACUUCAGCCUUUACGAGGUGGCAUGGAAAAUGGGAAAUUUGAUGAUGGGAACCGAAUCCAGCCUCCUGGGUGCGAUGCGAAAGGUCUUCAGGAUCAGCCUUUGGCCAGGGCAGCAGCCGGGGAUGAUAACCCAGUGCAAUGACGGUAUGCAGAAUAAAGCACAGCCAACUGCGUGCCAGCAGCCGCGGUAAUACGUAAGUGCAAGCGUUAAUCGGAAUUACUGGGCGUAAAGCGUGCGCAGGCGGUUCGGAAAGAAAGAUGUGAAAUCCCAGAGCUUAACUUUGGAACUGCAUUUUUAACUACCGAGCUAGAGUGUGUCAGAGGGAGGUGGAAUUCCGCGUGUAGCAGUGAAAUGCGUAGAUAUGCGAGGAGGAACACCGAUGGCGAAGGCAGCCUCCUGGAGGAUAACACUGACGCUCACGCACGAAAGCGUGGGAGCAAACAGGAUUAGAUACCCUGGUAGU
rnacentral:misc_RNA from 1 species